AGAGUUUGAUCCUGGCUCAGGAUGAACGCUGGCGGCGUGCUUAACACAUGCAAGUCGAACGGAGUACCCUUGAAGGAGUUUUCGGACAACUGAGAGGACUACUUAGUGGCGGACGGGUGAGUAACGCGUGAGUAACCUGCCUUGGAGUGGGGAAUAACAGCUGGAAACAGCUGCUAAUACCGCAUGAUGCAGUUGGGUCGCAUGGCUCUGACUGCCAAAGAUUUAUCGCUCUGAGAUGGACUCGCGUCUGAUUAGCUGGUUGGUGGGGUAACGGCUCACCAAGGCGACGAUCAGUAGCCGGACUGAGAGGUUGGCCGGCCACAUUGGGACUGAGACACGGCCCAGACUCCUGCGGGAGGCAGCAGUAGGGAAUUUUCGUCAAUGGGCGCAAGCCUGAACGAGCGAUGCCGCGUGAGUGAAGAAGGCCUUCGGGUCGUAAAGCUCUGUUGCGGGGGAAAAAAGGCAGCAUCAGGAAAUGGGUGCUGACUGAUGGUGCCCCGCCAGAAAGUCACGGCUAACUACGUGCCAGCAGCCGCGGUAAUACGUAGGUGGCGAGCGUUAUCCGGAAUGAUUGGGCGUAAAGGGUGCGCAGGCGGUCCUGCAAGUCUGGAGUGAAACGCAUGAGCUCAACUCAUGCAUGGCUUUGGAAACUGGAGGACUGGAGAGCAGGAGAGAGCGGUGGAACUCCAUGUGUAGCGGUAAAAUGCGUAGAUAUAUGGAAGAACACCAGUGGCGAAGGCGGCCGCCUGGCCUGUUGCUGACGCUGAGGCACGAAAGCGUGGGGAGCAAAUAGGAUUAGAUACCCUAGUAGUCCACGCCGUAAACGAUGAGGACCAAGUGUUGGGGGUGAAACCUCAGUGCUGAAGUUAACGCAGUGAGUCCUCCGCCUGGGGAGUAUGCACGCAAGUGUGAAACUCAAAGGAAUUGACGGGGGCCCGCACAAGCGGUGGAGUAUGUGGUUUAAUUCGUAGCAACGCGAAGAACCUUACCAGGCCUUGACAUGGGAUGCGAAGAUGCAGAGAUGCAUCGGAGGUCAACAUCCACACAGGUGGUGCAUGGUUGUCGUCAGCUCGUGUCGUGAGAUGUUGGGUCAAGUCCCGCAACGAGCGCAACCCUUGUGGCAUGUUGCUAACAGGAAAAGCUGAGGACUCAUGCCAGACUGCCGGUGACAAACCGGAGGAAGGCGGGGAUGACGUCAAAUCAUCAUGCCCCUUAUGGCCUGGGCUACACACGUACUACAAUGGCGGCUACAAAGAGCAGCGAGACAGGGAUGUCGAGCGAAUCUCAUAAAAGCCGUCCCAGUUCGGAUUGGAGGCUGCAACCCGCCUCCAUGAAGUUGGAAUCGCUAGUAAUCGCGGAUCAGCAUGCCGCGGUGAAUACGUUCCCGGGCCUUGCACUCACCGCCCGUCAA
rnacentral:rRNA from 1 species